CACCUCCCUCUCUCUGGUCUGCUCCUUUGCUAGUGCAGCUGUCUCUUUAUAAUGCCUGUAAGGAAAAGUGGCUGAGGCCUUUAGUGAUGGGAGGAACAGGUGUGCUGUUGGAGUGAUAAAUCUGCCCUCGCUCCAGGACAAUGCACCUCUGUUUAUGAAAACAAUUUCCCCAGAAUAGGUCUGCAUCGAGCAGGCGGACAAUGAAUACUCAGCUUGACAAGCAAAGAAAGAAAAAAAAAGUUGAGGGGAAUUAAAAGGUGCAAAAUAUCACUUUGCAAUCAGAAUCUGAAUAAAAGCUUGGCUAGCGCCCAUUUAUAAGGAACAUGCGUGCAUUCACAUCACUUAGUAAAACAAAUGUUAAUUACAGUCAGAUGAAAUGAAUCCAAGUCUACAUUUUGCAACUAAUAAUUACACUUAAUGGCCUAAGACGUCAUUGCAAACUGAACGUGUUGGCUCAAUAAACGGGAACAAAAGCAUGACAUAUUUGGUAUCAGAGGAAAAUAAAAAUUAUUAAUUUUUUUCUUAAAAAUCUGUCUCAGCCUUUAGGACACAAUUGGAGAGUCAUUACACAGCAAAGCCAUGUUUUUCCAGAUAGAUCUGCCCUAAUCCUGACUUGCUGGCUAAAACUCUGAACUGUGGGCCGCUCCCCAGUGCUCUUCAGAGCUCCAGUCACCAGCUAGCAUCUGGAAACCAUCAGUGUAAACAAAGGAACAGCGGAGGAGCUCAGGCCUCGCUCUGACUUUCCACAUCCCCCAGGACAUCACUCAGAGAGCAGCGCAAGAAUCCCAAACCAGCACCAAACUGAAUGAUGUCAAACGCUUUCAUGGCUAACUUUAAUAUGAGGGAUGUUGGCCAAUUUCAGAAGAAGCCAUUUAAAGCCACACCUUUAUAUGAUGUAAUUCAAGAUGCUGUGAAGAGGUGGAGCCCAAAUUGCACAGAAGCUGAAAUUGAUGCCGCUAUAGCGGAACACCUAAAGCAUGCCCCAGGAAGAGCUGGCGGUGGGGGUCACAAAAAAGAAGUUUUCAGGUUCAAAAGAUGUUAAAAAAGAUGAAUAAAAAUAAAUGUGUCCUGGAAUUGUGUGGCUUUUUAGGUUAUCCCGUUAUUGUUCAUCAUCUGUAAUGAACUACCAUAAUGAAAAUAACACACGUUUGCAGUGUCCUUGUUACAUCUACUUAAAGUAAUAACCAGUACAUGCAUCAAACCCUAAUCCCCCAUUCAGAUGCAGUUAAUUAUACUAAGUACUAAAAUGCAAAGUGCAGUGUUUGAUUUACACGUGAUUUUAAAGUAUUACAGAUGCUCAGGUAUUACUGGACCGAUUUUUUUACUUUUUAGAACCUUUGUCAAGUUUAGAUGUGCAAACAUAUAGGUUGCCAGUCACGAUUUAAUACAAUGGGUGUAUUAUUAGUUUAUAUGCAUGUUUAUAUGCCUAGGUUGAACUACAUGUAGUUAAAUUGUUCAACUAAUUGUCAAAAUAACAAUUAUACAUGUAACCACAGAUAACAGUAGACAU